ensembl:lncRNA
GGACAAAAUACAUAAAUUUCAAAUUUGUCCUGGUAAAUAACUAAUAUCAUUAAGGAGAAAUGCUUAUUUAUCUGUAGGAUCUGGUUAAUGGAUGGAUGUGGUCUUUUGUUGUUGUUUUCUAGUGGGGGAAGGGAGGCUACUUUUGCUUAAUUUCAGACUGUCGGAAAAAAUGAGUUCAGCAUCUGAAGAAGCACAAGAAGAAAUGCUUUUCUGCCGGAGGUUUACAGCAGAAAACAGUUGGGGAUUAUUGAGCAGCUGACUAAUGACUGUUUUUAACUAUGUCUAAUUUCUUGAGCAAAAGAAAUUGGCAGAUUUGUAAACAGCAGUGGAAGGCACCAAGUAAAUUCUUUCCUGUAUUCCGUGUGAAGAUCUGAAAUCAAGUAUCAUGUCUACAUUAAGCAUUGCACUUCUGAAGAGGUCAGAAGCAGAUGCUCUCCUUGAUACAGCUUAUUUCUUCAACAUUAUUCUCGAGUAAUUACGGAAAGAAGCUGCAGGUGUUGAAGGUUUGAUUCCAGGCACAGACAGCUCAGCCUUACUCCUGGCAGGAUGAAGCAGGUCCUAGAUGUGCUUUGAGGGCAGAUGGCUCAAGGUGGCUCCCCCUCUCCCAGGAACAAGAGGCCCCGCUGACCCAAUCCUUUAUGCCUCUGCCUGGACAUGGCACCAUUACCUGCAUCGGGUCUUCGCUAGCUCAAUAUACCCUCAGGAGUAUCUGCCAAUCUACAUAAAUCUCAGGGUGACGGUACCUACUUUGCCACAGGAGCAGCCCUGGCAAGAAGUUUCAACUGAGAGAACUCAACUAGCAAAAGAAGAUAUGAAGAGGAAUAAGACUGCCUGUUGCUGGUGUCAUUGGCAAACUGCAAUCUUGCUGCUCAACUGUUAGGUGCUCAAUAGGUAAAUCACACUUUUUUCCUAAUUUUCAUAUUUUUCAAAGUAGAAUUUAUUAAUGUUUUGGUUUUUAAUAUUGUCCAUAAAAGACCUUGCUUCUGAUAUGUUUCAUGUUAGUGAUGAAAUCUGUAUUCACUUCUGAGCUGAACUGGAAUUUAUUGGGAAAGUGACUCAGUUUGCAGAACAAAUUUAAUUAUGAUGCCAAAAAAAGAGAAAAAAGUGUUAUUCUGGCUGUCAUCUUGAAUAUUUUUAAUCACAGCAUCUCCAAGUACCUUGCAAACCAGAGUCACAGUGUCACUUCCAAGUAACAGAGCAGGACAAAGGCAAAGCCAAAGGUACCCAGAUCUCCUCUGUAUUAGCCCAGUACUCUAUCCAGUUUGUCACUUUUCUAUCGAAGUAUCAUGACCAUCUGAAAUAUUCAAAAACAUACCAUGUUUUGUAGAUAAAUGUAUGUACCCAGUUUUUAAGAAACAGUUUGUGUUUAGUGAAGACAUCCCCUCAGUUGACUGUGGGGCAGGAAAUGUCUACACGACUGAUUUAAUAGAAAAUAUACUGAAAUACAGUGCUCAGGUAAGAUUAGAAACUGGUCUGGAUUUAUUAGCAAUCUAGUGAGUAACAACACGAGUAGAACCUGCAUUUUCUGUACAACUUAUAAAAAGGCAAGAUAGUCUUGUUAACACUGUUAACUGAUCAGUUAACAGAGGGGUGAGUGGGCUAAACCACAUUUACAGCAAGUGAUGGUAAUCAGUGGCCUUAAAAGACAUAAAUGUCAACUCAAAUGAUUCACUAGCAGCAAUUCAUGUAAAUAUUAAAUAGUAAAACUUCACAGAUUUAAAACUUUCUUAUCUAAAUGGUAUACAACUGAUAAAAAAAACUUAAAAGGAAAAAAAAAGAAAAAAUAUCAGAAAGUUUCACUGACCAGCUUUUUAUUUUUUUUUUUAAGGAUGCUUUAAAGGGUAUGAGUUGAAUUAAAGCCCUUAGGAAAAAAAAUACUGCAAUUUUGCCAGAAAUGUACUGGUUUUAUUUUUAACAUCUGUUAAAGCUUUAUUCAUAAACUUUAACAAUGCAUUUUUCCAAGAGAGGCAAAGUUCACAUUAGGAGCAAAAAGGCAUUCAGUUUUAUGUGCUGUUCUAUUGAUUUUUCUGUGUGAAAAUUCAAUUUUAAUGGAAGGGGAAUUGCUUUUGAUAUUAUGUAUUUUUCUGAACUACCUAACAUAAUCAUAAAUUAUCUGCCAGUUUAUUAUCUGACUUCUUACGAGCACUUAUCAGUAGCAAAAUACGUUAGGAGAAAAAGCUGAUACAGCUAUCAGUAAAGUAAACAUUUCCAAAAAAGAUAAGUCAUAUCUAUACAGAAGCAAAUACUGCCAUUUAUCAUUUAAUAAUAUAAUACUUUUAGCACACAGAAAUAAGUUUGUCCCAAACGAUAUGACUGUUUACUAGUAUUAACUAACUGGGAAAUGGUGUGUGUGUGUAUGUAUAUAUAUAUACAUAUAAAAGCCCAGAACAUAAGACUAAAACAUUCUUCAGCCCAUGAUUUAAGUUUAUUUUUGCUUCUAUGAAGAUUACUUUGGUCUUCUAAACAAAACAUGAAAAGUCUGAUCAAGGAGUAGGAAUUGUGACUCUAAGUUGAUUUCUACAGCCAACUCCGGAGUUCAGUUAAACUAGAGUAUCUGUUCUGGGCAGGGCUGUGGAAUUAGCUACUUCUAAGCAAGGGCAAAUACCGUAGCAAACAUUCCUUGGCCUAGUCACUACUGCCUUUAUCCUGUCUAUAAGCUCCCUGUUACCCUGUGCUGUACACUUCAGAGAAUUUAGCUGUAUUCACUCUGUGCCCCCAUGGCACAUGCAUCUAAGUGUAUGGCAAAUACAAAGUAACUACUGUCUCAGUAUUUUAAAGCUAACUUUUAUGAAGUUGAUCACUUACUGUGCUUGCUAAUGUUAUUAAGGGUAUUUUUCAUUUGAAAGUGUAGGGGCCAAGAAAAUAAUCUCUUAUUGCUCAGUAAGGGGGCGAAUAAUGAAACAAAAAAUUUCAUUUAACUUUCCCCUGAGAGUAAUACCCUGGUAAAGCGUGCAUGAUGCUCCAGUAGCCAACACGCUCUGAAAUUAAAAUGCUGCUACUGAUUCACUAUUGUUCUCCCAGCUCAGGAAGGGAUUUGUGCUUUUGGUGCUGGUGUUGUGAGACUGCCUGAUUUAAGCCUGCUGUUCAUGCAAGAUCCCUGUGUACAGAGCCUUGUUACAUUUGCUGUAGAAUAUCUGGACGGAGUAAUACCACUCUUAUUUUUACAUGCAGAACCUUUUAUGAGCUAAGGUGUUUCUCUUUAAAGAUGGGUAUUUGCUAUGCGGAAGUGGAGAACACAUGCGUUUACCUGGCUACUCAGCCUGUACAGAAAGAGACUAGAGCGUUCGGUGACUAAGAGCAGCAGGGCCCAAGGAACUGCUGAGGCAGUUAAUCAACAUGACUGCACUUUCCCAGGACAUGGAGUGCACUGUAAAUAUGGAAUCCGGUCCCAGGAGAACUAGGACUUUCUGAUGCAAUUUGUGAAAGAUAAAACAAUGUGUAGAACUUGUGGAAACAAAUAAAAAAACAUUUCCAGUUAGCUACUAUGUGGAG